rnacentral:snoRNA from 1 species
ACUGCCCCUAGAAGCAUUGAGGUGUGGCUGCUGUGUCCCAUGUGCAUCGGGAGGGUAGUAGAGAGGGGAGAAGCUGUGUCUACGCUCAGUGUACUGACCUAUGAACAUCUGGAAGAUUAGUAGUUUAACAUU